CCCUGGUAGUCCACGCCGUAAACGAUGAGUGCUAGCUGUAGGGAGCUAUAAGUUCUCUGUAGCGCAGCUAACGCAUUAAGCACUCCGCCUGGGGAGUACGACCGCAAGGUUGAAACUCAAAGGAAUUGACGGGGGCCCGCACAAGCGGUGGAGCAUGUGGUUUAAUUCGAAGCAACGCGAAGAACCUUACCAGGUCUUGACAUACUCGUGCUAUCCUUAGAGAUAAGGAGUUCCUUCGGGACACGGGAUACAGGUGGUGCAUGGUUGUCGUCAGCUCGUGUCGUGAGAUGUUGGGUUAAGUCCCGCAACGAGCGCAACCCUUAUUACUAGUUGCCAUCAUUAAGUUGGGCACUCUAGUGAGACUGCCGGUGAUAAACCGGAGGAAGGUGGGGAUGACGUCAAAUCAUCAUGCCCCUUAUGACCUGGGCUACACACGUGCUACAAUGGAUGGUACAACGAGUCGCCAACCCGCGAGGGUGCGCUAAUCUCUUAAAACCAUUCUCAGUUCGGAUUGCAGGCUGCAACUCGCCUGCAUGAAGUCGGAAUCGCUAGUAAUCGCGGAUCAGCACGCCGCGGUGAAUACGUUCCCGGGCCUUGUACACACCGCCCGUCACACCACGGAAGUUGGGAGUACCCAAAGUAGGUUGCCUAACCGCAAGGAGGGCGCUUCCUAAGGUAAGACCGAUGACUGGGGUGAAGUCGUAACAAGGUAGCCGUAUCGGAAGGUGCGGCUGGAUCACCUCCUUUCUAAGGAAUAUAAAAAAAGAUGUUGUUCUACUUUAUUCAGUUUUGAGGGGUCUAUAAAGACCAAACAAGCAGU
rnacentral:sRNA from 1 species